UGCAGUCGAACGGAAAGGCCCGCUUGCGGGUACUCGAGUGGCGAACGGGUGAGUAACACGUGGGUGAUCUGCCCCUGACUUUGGGAUAAGCCUGGGAAACUGGGUCUAAUACCGGAUAUUCACUUUCUCCUGCAUGGGGGUUGGUGGAAAGCUUUUGCGGUUGGGGAUGGGCCCGCGGCCUAUCAGCUUGUUGGUGGGGUAAUGGCCUACCAAGGCGACGACGGGUAGCCGACCUGAGAGGGUGAUCGGCCACACUGGGACUGAGACACGGCCCAGACUCCUACGGGAGGCAGCAGUGGGGAAUAUUGCACAAUGGGCGCAAGCCUGAUGCAGCGACGCCGCGUGAGGGAUGACGGCCUUCGGGUUGUAAACCUCUUUCAGCAGGGACGAAGCUUUUGUGACGGUACCUGCAGAAGAAGCACCGGCCAACUACGUGCCAGCAGCCGCGGUAAUACGUAGGGUGCGAGCGUUGUCCGGAAUUACUGGGCGUAAAGAGCUCGUAGGCGGUUUGUCGCGUCGUCUGUGAAAUUCUGCAGCUUAACUGUAGGCGUGCAGGCGAUACGGGCAGACUUGAGUACUACAGGGGAGACUGGAAUUCCUGGUGUAGCGGUGAAAUGCGCAGAUAUCAGGAGGAACACCGGUGGCGAAGGCGGGUCUCUGGGUAGUAACUGACGCUGAGGAGCGAAAGCGUGGGUAGCGAACAGGAUUAGAUA
rnacentral:rRNA from 1 species